UGGAAACAGAACUGGCCAUCCCCAAGUGGCUCCAGGACAGACACGGAGUAGUUAGGUCCGAGUUAUGAUUUAACUUUGGAGCUGGCGACCCAUCACCCUCACUAGCACGAUGGCUGCAGAGGUCCGGCAUUUCCUAACAGGGCAGUCUGAAGGGAAGCGGGGGCAGUCGGCUACGCGCACUGAGCGUCGGUUCCACCUUCUACAGGUUCCAGGAAAGCCGAGAGGAUCUGCAGUUCUGACCGUGCGCCUCUGGAAUCCAUGCGGUCUCCUGUUUCUUGCUGGAGAGCUCCUCCUCUCCUGAGGGAGCAUCUUGGCGUCCUCCUUGGUCUCCCACCCUGCCGAUUCGGAGGGUUUGCUGGAGGGCCGCUUGUGCUGAUGGGUCGUGGACACUCAGUCACCUCCACGGCUGGCACACGGAAGGCUCAGCCUUGGGAGGAGCAGGAGCACAGGGCUGGAGCCACCGCUCUCCCCACGCACCUCACAGCCGAGCUGGUGCCCACCAUGGACUUGACACAUGGGUCGUGUCCUAGGCAGCUUUCCAAUAAACGCCGGAGAAGCAUGGGUGUGCGUGUAUGCACACACGGCACACACGCGGGAAACCAUAGCUGCUCGCGCUUUGGGAUGCAGGCGCAUGAGCUUCGCAUCCAGGAGCGAGAGGGGAGUGGGGGCCCUCACUGAGGCCUUGGUGGCUCUGAGUGAAGAGAGACCAUGAGGAACACUCAGCCCCAGCGUGCACGCGUGCUGUCAGGCAGAGCCGGCGGCUCCUUCAGGCCAGCGCAGGAGCAUGGGGCCUGAGGCACGUGGCCCCCACCUGAGUGACCUCAGACAUGACUCCAGGAAGCAUCGGCUGCACCGCCUUCAGAUUUCCACCGGUUCUCAUCUUUGUGGGUGAGUAUGCCACACGGCUUCCCUCAUAGACAAGGGGUGGCUGGCAGAUACGGCAAAUGUCUCCAGUGUAAAAAGCCACGACAGCAAAGACACACGGCCAAGAAGGACAGGACAAAGGGCAGGACGCAUACGGAAGCGAGGGGCAGUGUCUGGAGUGUUUGGAGGGGAGCUAAUGAUCCUCUGUCUUUACUGUCACACAUUUUUACAUUUAAACGCUGUAUUUUAUGAUCAUCCCAGCUUGGUCCACUGCUUAUGGCAACUUCUGUCAAAUGAAAACAUCACACCUUGUCCUCAUCCACUUCGUCUCCUGGCUCUUCCUCAGAGUCAAAAUGACCACGAAGGGGAAGCGUGUGAGAUUGACGGGGACGUCAGGGCAGCCAGGGACCGCUGAUGACGUGUCCCCUAGGCUCAGCUUUAACGUCCUCAGGGGUGGCUGAGGUGUAGCUAGGACCGAGCUACUUGAUGGUUAUUGCUCAGCUGUGAAAGCACUAAACACUGUUCUUAAACCCUGGGAGAGACUUGCAUUAGGGUGCUAGAGCUGCCCCAACACCGCACCACAGGCUGCCUUGCGUAAGUAACUAAAAUGACUUCCUCAUAGCCCUGGUGGCUGAAGGGCCCACAUGGCCCUCACUCUGGGUUUGUAGAAAGCAAGCCUUUCCUCUGUGUCCUUUGGGCUUGUCCCUCUGGGUAUCCGUGUCCUCAUCCUUUCCUCUGUGUCCUGAUCUCUUUUAUUUUAUUUUUCCUCGGUACUGGGAACCGAACCCAGCAACUUUAUGCUGAGCGACACCCCAGCGCUUAUUAUUAUUUUCACAGCCUCUUUUUAAGUUACUGAGUUGCCCAGGGUUGGUGUGAACUUGCAGCUCUCCUGCCUCAGCCUCCUGAAUGCUGGUUGACAGAUGAGCUCUGAUCUCCCUUUCUUGGAAGGACACAGUCAGACUGCAUCAGGGCCCAACCCGUAGGACCUACUUUAGCUCAAUCACUUCUUACAGGCCUGUCUCCAAGGACAGUCUCAUUGGGAGUGAGACCUACGCAUGCGAGGAUUUGCUCCAUAACAGCACCCAUUAUAAACUAUCAACCCGGUGAAAUAAAAAGAUUUCUGUUCUUAAAAAGUAUGUUUAUGAACUUCUCUCUCCUUCUGUCACCUAGCCCAUUUCUUUUUGUGUAAAUAAAUCUCUGUAUCAAUAGGGAAGGAUAAAAAGAUUAAAAAGUGUUAAGAUAGUAUAUGCAUCAAGAGAAGUGAAAUACAGAUAAUAUUCACAGUGGUGCUCGGUUCACGAAUGCUUUUGUGAACAAUUUAGUUCAUAAGCAGAAGCAUUUGGCAACAUUGUGGGACUCUGCACUGGUGACGAACCUGACAGUGGCCACCUUUGCCGCACGAACACGAACGUGGCCGUCUUCUCCAGAACUGUAGGACGAACUAACUUCAUGAACUGAGGCAUCACUGUACCUUUUUUUAGUGUUUUUCUUUUUCCUUUUUUGUUGAGACAGGGUCUCCCUGUGUCCUUCAGGCGUGAACUCACACCAGCUCUUCUGCCUCAG
ensembl:lincRNA uncharacterized LOC102021628